rnacentral:rRNA from 1 species
UGUUUCGGCUAGGGGGCCAUCCCGGCUUACCAACCCGAUGCAAACUGCGAAUACCGGAGAAUGUUAUCACGGGAGACACACGGCGGGUGCUAACGUCCGUCGUGAAGAGGGAAACAACCCAGACCGCCAGCUAAGGUCCCAAAGUCAUGGUUAAGUGGGAAACGAUGUGGGAAGGCCCAGACAGCCAGGAUGUUGGCUUAGAAGCAGCCAUCAUUUAAAGAAAGCGUAAUAGCUCACUGGUCGAGUCGGCCUGCGCGGAAGAUGUAACGGGGCUAAACCAUGCACCGAAGCUGCGGCAGCGACACUUUAGUGUUGUUGGGUAGGGGAGCGUUCUGUAAGCCGUUGAAGGUGUCCUGUGAGGGGUGCUGGAGGUAUCAGAAGUGCGAAUGCUGACAUAAGUAACGAUAAAGCGGGUGAAAAGCCCGCUCGCCGGAAGACCAAGGGUUCCUGUCCAACGUUAAUCGGGGCAGGGUGAGUCGACCCCUAAGGCGAGGCCGAAAGGCGUAGUCGAUGGGAAACGGGUUAAUAUUCCCGUACUUGGUGUUACUGCGAAGGGGGGACGGAGAAGGCUAUGUUGGCCGGGCGACGGUUGUCCCGGUUUAAGCGUGUAGGUGUGUGUUCCAGGUAAAUCCGGUUCACUUUAACACUGAGGCGUGAUGACGAGGCACUACGGUGCUGAAGCAACAAAUGCCCUGCUUCCAGGAAAAGCCUCUAAGCAUCAGGUAACAUCAAAUCGUACCCCAAACCGACACAGGUGGUCAGGUAGAGAAUACCAAGGCGCUUGAGAGAACUCGGGUGAAGGAACUAGGCAAAAUGGUGCCGUAACUUCGGGAGAAGGCACGCUGACACGUAGGUGAAGUGAUUUACUCACGGAGCUGAAGUCAGUCGAAGAUACCAGCUGGCUGCAACUGUUUAUUAAAAACACAGCACUGUGCAAACACGAAAGUGGACGUAUACGGUGUGACGCCUGCCCGGUGCCGGAAGGUUAAUUGAUGGGGUCAGCGCAAGCGAAGCUCCUGAUCGAAGCCCCGGUAAACGGCGGCCGUAACUAUAACGGUCCUAAGGUAGCGAAAUUCCUUGUCGGGUAAGUUCCGACCUGCACGAAUGGCGUAAUGAUGGCCAGGCUGUCUCCACCCGAGACUCAGUGAAAUUGAACUCGCUGUGAAGAUGCAGUGUACCCGCGGCAAGACGGAAAGACCCCGUGAACCUUUACUAUAGCUUGACACUGAACAUUGAGCCUUGAUGUGUAGGAUAGGUGGGAGGCUUUGAAGCGUGGACGCCAGUCUGCGUGGAGCCGACCUUGAAAUACCACCCUUUAAUGUUUGAUGUUCUAACGUGGACCCGUAAUCCGGGUUGCGGACAGUGUCUGGUGGGUAGUUUGACUGGGGCGGUCUCCUCCUAAAGAGUAACGGAGGAGCACGAAGGUUGGCUAAUCCUGGUCGGACAUCAGGAGGUUAGUGCAAUGGCAUAAGCCAGCUUGACUGCGAGCGUGACGGCGCGAGCAGGUGCGAAAGCAGGUCAUAGUGAUCCGGUGGUUCUGAAUGGAAGGGCCAUCGCUCAACGGAUAAAAGGUACUCCGGGGAUAACAGGCUGAUACCGCCCAAGAGUUCAUAUCGACGGCGGUGUUUGGCACCUCGAUGUCGGCUCAUCACAUCCUGGGGCUGAAGUAGGUCCCAAGGGUAUGGCUGUUCGCCAUUUAAAGUGGUACGCGAGCUGGGUUUAGAACGUCGUGAGACAGUUCGGUCCCUAUCUGCCGUGGGCGCUGGAAGACUGAGGGGGGCUGCUCCUAGUACGAGAGGACCGGAGUGGACGCAUCACUGGUGUUCGGGUUGUCAUGCCAAUGGCACUGCCCGGUAGCUAAAUGCGGAAAAGAUAAGUGCUGAAAGCAUCUAAGCACGAAACUUGCCCC